AGUAACGGCGAGUGAAGCGGGAAAAGCUCAAAUUUAAAAUCUGGCGGUCUCCGGCCGUCCGAGUUGUAAUCUGGAGAAGCGUUUUCCGCGUUGGACCGUGUACAAGUCUUCUGGAAUGGAGCUUCAUAGAGGGUGAGAAUCCCUUCUUUGACACGUACUACCAAUGCUUUGUGAUACGCUCUCGAAGAGUCGAGUUGUUUGGGA
rnacentral:rRNA from 1 species